ACGGGGUUUCACCAUGUUAGCCAGGCUGGUGUUGAACUCCUGACCUCAGGUGAUUCACCCACCUCCGCCUCCCAAAGUGCUGGGAUUACAGGCGUGAGCCAGUGAGCCUGGCUGAUGCGGACCAAAUCUUUAACAGUUAACUACCUUGUACUGAUCUGCAAAAUGAUAGAAAAACAUGUAAGUUUAGGUGGAUCAGCAGAGAGUCUGUUACAUCUUGGUGGUCUCAGAGCUCUUUUCUAGCUCUCUGAGUUUCUGGGAUUCUAACCCACAUACUUCAGGAGAUGUCUUAAUAAUGGUUGUAUUAGCCACUUGUUACAAAACACUUAGCAAGGAAUCAAUCUUUGUGAGGAAAUAAGCCCAGUCUGGUGGAAUGGGGUAUUUGAGGUUGCUUCACUCAGGAGAAUGACGGCCCCAGCAUUCUGCAGUGAAGAGUUUCUGUAAAACAGUCCUGUGAGGUUGGUUUUAUUCCAGGUGGACAACUUGGGAUGCUGAGGCUUCAAGAGGAUACCUACUUAGGAAGUGGCAUAGCCAGGGUUUGAAAGCAGAUUUGUUUGUCUCUUAGAUAUGUUCUUUUUCCAUCUUAUUACACUGUUUCUCAAACACUGAGUGGAUCCUCCAUGACCUUUGGUUGCUUGUCCUGUGAAUGCAUAGGACUGAGGUGGACUGGGAGAAUAAGAGCUUGUGGGCAGCUCAUGUUGUCAUGGUGAAUAUCUGUGUGUUUGAAUACAUGUGGACUAAUGUGAUGAAUGAUCGCUAUUGAUGAGUGACGUAUAUUAAUAUAUCCUUAAUGUUCUCAGCCUGUGAAGUUUGUUUAUUAUUUUUAUGUAAAAGUUAUACUGUGGUCAUAUGUAUGUAAGAGG
rnacentral:lncRNA from 10 species